GGGAAUGAUUGGACUGGGGUAGAGUGCACAAGGGAUGGUCUCAGGGUUCGUAAGUCAUAAUUCCAUAGAAGUUCUACCAGUGAGAGUGUCAUUUGCAUCAACACAUAGUCUAUUUAAAAAGUCAGACCUUACAUCAUUCAAUUUAACUAGUUGGUAGGAAGAAAUUGCUGACGGAAGAAAUGAGUUGUUGAGGGAAGCACAAGAUGAGGAAAAGAGUUUAGGCACUGGAGAGAUGAGUAAAGGCAGUUUGGGAGCAUGUAAAAUUUUAGGGAAUAAUUGACCCAUGAGAGACAAUGGACAGUCCAGCAAAGAAUGAGAGUGUGGAUGGUUGCCCUGGUGGGCAUUGGGGAAUCUAGGAGGCUGUGGGGUUAGUUCUGGUACAAAUGAUUGACAUUUCUAAGGACCAGUUCAAAUCACCUUCCUUUGAAGGUAAGCCAACUGCAUCAUCUUUUAAAAUAGCAUAAUUACAAAAACAAAUCAAAACCCAAACAACAACAACGACGACGAUGAUGACGACGACGAUGACGUUCUUUAAAGGAAACAUUCUCCAUCUUCCUUUACAGACCCAGUAGUUCCCACUGCAGAAGUUAUCUGAAGAUAGUCUUAUGCUUUCUAGCAGUGGUCUGUGAUCAGCCUUUAUCUUCUCCACGAACACUAUGAUGGAUUUAGUUUAUACAUGUAUUAAACUCAGAGGCAUUUUCUCAAGUGAGUUUAAAUGCACUUUAUUUUUAGACAACUUACAUGACAUGUUUUUUUUUCCCCCUAAAAAACAAUGCCUCCACUCCAAAUAAAUCCACAGUCAAAAUAAAUGAAGCAUUCAAGAUGACAUCAGUCCCAUGUGUCUAAAAUCCUGGUGGUGUGUGGAUGACAAGCAGCAGCCAGUUAUGAUGAGUGAUAGAUCCAAGAUAACUGCCAAAUCCAUUAACAUUUUUCCAUUUCUAAACCACCCUUAAAGAAAGUCAUAAAUGGU
rnacentral:lncRNA from 1 species